UACGUAGGCAGCGAGCGUUGUUCGGAGUUACUGGGCGUAAAGGGUGUGUAGGCGGUUUUUUAAGUUUGGUGUGAAAUCUCCCGGCUCAACUGGGAGGGUGCGCCGAAUACUGAAUGACUUCGAGUGCGGGAGAGGAGAGUGGAAUUCCUGGUGUAGCGGUGAAAUGCGUAGAUAUCAGGAGGAACACCGGUGGUGUAGACGGCUCUCUGGACCGUAACUGACGCUGAGACACGAAAGCGUGGGUAGCAAACAGG
rnacentral:rRNA from 1 species